rnacentral:rRNA from 1 species
UUUGGCAAUGGACGCAAGUCUGAUCCAGCGACGCCGCGUGGAUGAUGAAGGCCUUCGGGUCGUAAACUCCUUUUCUGGGUGAAGAAUACCGGCGGGACCAAAUGACUUGAGUUCUGACUGUACACGCGCAAUAAGUCCCGGUUAAAUCUGUGACAGCAGCCGUGUUCAAUACUUAUGGGACGAACGUCGUUCGGAUUCAUUGGGCGUAAAGGGCACGUAAGUCGCCAGGUAAAUCUGGUGUGAGANACCCCAGAUCAACUGNGGAAGUGCCCUUGAAACUGUUUUGCUUGACUCCUGGAGGGGGAACUNGAAUUCCCAGUGUAGGGGUGAAAUGUGUAGAUAUCGGGAAGAAUACCGGUGGCUAACGCGANUCCCUGGACCUGUACUGACACUAAGGUGCGAAAGCGUGGGUAGCAAACAGGAUUAAAUACCCUGGUAGUCCACGCCGUAAACGAUGUGCACUANGUGUUGCGGCUGUAAAGCCCUGUUGNGACGUANUUGAGUCAUUUGCUGCCCCUCCUGAGUAUUAUCGUCGCGGUGG